rnacentral:rRNA from 1 species
UCGAACGAGAAGCUUGUUUUCGGAUGAGCGGAAAGUGGCGAACGGGUGAGUAACAUGUUGGUGACCUGCCCUUGAGAGGGGGACAACCAUUGGAAACGAUGGCUAAUACCCCAGAUGUCAACUUUUUUAGAAAGGGUUGACUAAAGUUCCGGCGCUCAAGGAGGGGCCAGCACCCCAUCAGCUAGUUGGUAAGGUAACGGCUUACCAAGGCGAAGACGGGUAGGGGACGUGAGAGCGUGAACCCCCACACUGGUACUGACACACGGACCAGAUACCUACGGGUAGCAGCAGCGAGGAAUCUUGCGCAAUGGGCGAAAGCCUGACGCAGCAACACCGCGUGGAGGAUGAAGCAUUUCGGUGUGUAAACUCCUUUUAUGGGUGAAUAGAACGGAAGGUAACCCAAGAAUAAGGUCCGGCUAACUACGUGCCAGCAGCCGCGGUAAAACGUAGGGACCAAGCGUUAUCCGGAAUUACUGGGCGUAAAGGGCACGCAGGCGGUUUAGUAAGUUGGAUGUGAAAGCUCCCGGCUCAACUGGGAGAGGUCAUUCAAAACUGCUGAACUUGAGGAUGACAGAGGAGAGUGGAAUUCCCGGUGUAGUGGUGAAAUGCGUAGAUAUCGGGAGGAACACCAGUGGCGAAAGCGGCUCUCUGGGUCAUUACUGACGCUCAGGUGCGAAAGCUAGGGGAGAGAACGGGAUUAGAAACCCCGGUAUUCCUAGCCGUAAACGAUGUCAACUAGUGUUGGGGGUAACCAAUCCCUCAGUACUGCAGCCAACGCGAUAAGUUGACCGCCUGGGGACUACGCCGCAAGGCUAAAACUCAAAGGAAUUGACGGGUUCCCGCACAAGCAGCGGAGCGUGUGGUUU